AACGUAGGAGACAAACGUUAUCCGGAGCUACUGGGCGUAAAGGGCUCGUAGGCGGCCAACUAAGUCAGACGUGAAAUCCCUCGGCUUAACCGGGGAACUGCAUCUGAUACUGGAUGGCUUGAGUUCGGGAGAGGGAUGUGGAAUUUCCGGUGUAGCGGUGAAAUGCGUAGAUAUCGGAAGGAACAUCAGUGGCGAAAGCGACUUCCUGGACCAAUACUGACGCUCAUGUGCGAAAGCGUGGGGAGCAAACAGG
rnacentral:rRNA from 1 species